rnacentral:lncRNA from 1 species
AUUCACGUCAACCUCCAGGCAUCCUCCGCGGCGGGCCGGACCGGGCCGGCGGAGGGGAGCGGAAGCCCACCGGGGCUGGCCCGCCGCUGACCCGCCGCCUCCGUCUGCCUCCUCCCGGGCUCUGGGCCCAGCGCGCCCAGAUGCCGGGCAGGACCCCUCCGCCCGCUGCUGGAACACCAAUAGCAGCGUUGGAGCCUCUGGGCCGGAGGAACUGGGGCCUCCACCGACACCUGCUUCUUCCCUCACCUCGCAGCCUUCCACACCUGUUGAUCUGACCUCUGCCCCGCUGCCGCCCAGGAGUAACCUAAGGCUUUUGGCCUGAUUCGAGCUCACUCCGUCUAAACCUCUAAAUGCGGUGCGAAAAAAUCCUGGGGAAUGUGCCAUGCAAAGCCUGGGCAUUUCAAGUGCUUUUCUGGAUUCGCAUCAACUCCUCUUUACAGGCAUCUUUAUCCGGAAUUCAGCUCGUCCCAAACCCCACGUGGUGUAGCUCUGCUUGUGUUUUUGAAUCCCGGGGCCUCUUUGAAUCAGAAGCCCUUUGUAUAGAGAUAAGUAUCCUUUAGGCCAGAAUCAGCCUCCAUUUUUUUCGCAGUCCCAUUUCCUACCCGUAAUACUUUCUUCUGAUUUUAAAGCCAUUUGAUAGAGAAGGGACAGGGAACAGAACCUUCGCCCCCCGCCUGAGCAGCUGGUAGACUAGAUAUCUUCCAAACAUUAUCUCAUUUACUUCCCUGGAGUUACAAAUAGGUAGAUUUCAUGUCCGUUGAGGGGUGAGAAAGCUGAAACUUUGAGACUUAAGAAUCCUGGCCGAGGUCAGCCUCCUCCGAAGCUUCAUCUCUUGCCACCACUUUCUGGUGCACACCUAGGACAGAUUUCAAUCCCUGAGAUCCCAGGAUGAAACCUAUGUUUGCCAAAUACCAGCUACUGUGCCAGAAGAGAUCAUGGAACCAGGUGUGGAAAGCUGCUUGAGAAGAGGAGCCAAAACAUCAUAGUUGAACCGUCCUGGAAUAGAAACUCGCCCUGAAUUCUUUCUUGUGUGAAAUCCAAGAGCCCUCUCUUGGGGUUGGAUCGGGACCCUGUUCCUGUAACAAGUCCACAAUGCCAGAGAAUUAAAGAGAACCACAAAGCAAGACCAACUCCCCUUCUUCCACCUUCCCAACCUACUCAAU